UACGUAGGGUGCGAGCGUUAAUCGGAAUUACUGGGCGUAAAGCGUGCGCAGGCGGUUUUGUAAGCCAGAUGUGAAAUCCCCGGGCUUAACCUGGGAAUGGCAUUUGGGACUGCAAGGCUGGAGUUUGGCAGAGGAGACUGGAAUUCCUGGUGUAGCAGUGAAAUGCGUAGAUAUCAGGAGGAACACCGGUGGCGAAGGCGGAUCUCUGGGCCAUUACUGACGCUGAGGAGCGAAAGCGUGGGGAGCAAACAGG
rnacentral:rRNA from 1 species